rnacentral:rRNA from 1 species
GACGAACGCUGGCGGCGUGCUUAACACAUGCAAGUCGAGCGGUAAGGCCCUUUCGGGGGUACGACGAGCGGCGAACGGGUGAGUAACACGUGGGUGACCUGCCUUUAGUCUCUGGGAUAAGCCUGGGAAACGUGGGUCUAAUACCGGAUAUGACUCCGCGGUGCAUGCUGUGGGGUGGAAAGCCUUGUGCGGCUGGAGAUGGGCCCGCGGCCUAUCAGCUUGUUGGUGGGGUGAUGGCCUACCAAGGCGACGACGGGUAGCCGGCCUGAGAGGGCGACCGGCCACACUGGGACUGAGACACGGCCCAGACUCCUACGGGAGGCAGCAGUGGGGAAUCUUGCGCAAUGGGCGAAGGCCUGACGCAGCGACGCCGCGCGAGGGAUGACGGCCU